rnacentral:rRNA from 1 species
UGGGGAAUUUUGGACAAUGGGCGAAAGCCUGAUCCAGCAAUGCCGCGUGUGUGAAGAAGGCCUUCGGGUUGUAAAGCACUUUUGUCCGGAAAGAAAUCCUUGGCUCUAAUACAGUCGGGGGAUGACGGUACCGGAAGAAUAAGCACCGGCUAACUACGUGCCAGCAGCCGCGGUAAUACGUAGGGUGCAAGCGUUAAUCGGAAUUACUGGGCGUAAAGCGUGCGCAGGCGGUUUGCUAAGACCGAUGUGAAAUCCCCGGGCUCAACCUGGGAACUGCAUUGGUGACUGGCAGGCUAGAGUAUGGCAGAGGGGGGUAGAAUUCCACGUGUAGCAGUGAAAUGCGUAGAGAUGUGGAGGAAUACCGAUGGCGAAGGCAGCCCCCUGGGCCAAAUACUGACGCUCAUGCACGAAAGCGUGGGGGAGCAAAACAGGAUUAGAUACCCUGGUAGUCCACGCCCUAAAACGAUGUCAACUAGUUGUUGGGGAUUCAUUUCCUUAGUAACGUAGCUAACGCGUGAAGUUGACCGCCUGGGGAGUACGGUCGC